UACGAAGGGGGGCUAGCGUUGCUCGGAAUCACUGGGCGUAAAGCGCACGUAGGCGGAUUUUAAUGUCAGGGGUGAAAUCCCGGGGCUCAACCUCGGAAUUGCCUUUGAUACUGUGAGUCUUGAGACCGGAAGAGGUGAGUGGAACUGCGAGUGUAGAGGUGAAAUUCGUAGAUAUUCGCAAGAACACCAGUGGCGAAGGCGGCUCACUGGCCCGGUACUGACGCUGAGGCACGAAAGCGUGGGGAGCAAACAGG
rnacentral:rRNA from 1 species